rnacentral:lncRNA from 1 species
GGGUGUGAAGGGGUGGAUUUAGUCCCACUUUGCUAAGAGAUAUGGCCUGUGUAGCGUUUAUAUAGCUUUGACAACCCUUACCUUAUAAGCCGGUUUUGUGAGGAUGAGUUAGGCCCAAUAUAAAAUUUGACAUGGUAUCAGAGCUCUCGUUCUUUGAGGGCCUUGCUUCCGCAUAAACCCUAGCCGCCUUCAUUGCGGUCAUAAACCCUAACUGCCUUCAUUGCAGGAUUAGGAUUUGUUACUACUGCCUUUAUUGCAGUUUCAGCAAACAGUUGAGAAAUCACUGUUCACGUGGUACUGUUCAUCCACGACACUGUUCAC